rnacentral:lncRNA from 1 species
UACUUUGAAAAUACAUAUUUCACAUUAUAAUAGAAUUUCAUAAUUUAGAAAUGAAAAGUACAUCACUCUAAUUAUAUUUCUCUUGAUGAAAGUAAAAUUUGACAAGUUAUCUCUGCUGACAAGAAUCUGCAUCAGUGAAUCUGCAAAGAGGGCACCAGUUAGGGGUGGGGCCUCAUCUUCCUAGAUGGCUCAGGUCUAGAGCCUGUUGGCUGGUCAGACAUAACAUUUUUAUGUUUAUCAAAUAGGAAAAUGAUUUUUUAAGGACCAUCUGGGCACAGGUAACAGGAGAUGCUUGUAUCUCUCCUGUAGGGUCAGUCUUCAGGAGACGGAGCUGAGACAGGAGUCCUACUGGCAAGGCUAUUCUGUGCUCCAUGUGUG